UACAGGGGGUGCAAACGUUGCUCGGAAUCAUUGGGCGUAAAGCGCACGUAGGCGGUUCGUUAUGUCGGAUGUGAAAGCCCUUGGCUUAACCGAGGAAGUGCAUCCGAAACUGGCGAGCUAGAGUACUAAAGAGGAUCGCGGAAUUCCCGGUGUAGUGGUGAAAUGCGUAGAUAUCGGGAGGAACACCAGUGGCGAAGGCGACUACCUGGCCUGUUCUUGACGCUGAGGCGCGAAAGCUAGGGGAGCAAACGGG
rnacentral:rRNA from 1 species